GCUGGGUGUGGUGGUGCACACCUGUAGUCCCAGCCAUUUGGGAGGUUGAGGUGGGAGGAUCCCUUGAGACUGGGAGCUCAAGGCUGCAGUGUGCUGUGAAGGCACCACUGCACUCCAACCUGGGCAACAGAGGGAGAUCCUGCCUCAA
rnacentral:SRP_RNA from 1 species